rnacentral:rRNA from 1 species
AGCGUACACGGUGGAUGCCCUGGCAGUCAGAGGCGAUGAAGGACGUGCUAAUCUGCGAUAAGCGUCGGUAAGGUGAUAUGAACCGUUAUAACCGGCGAUUUCCGAAUGGGGAAACCCAGUGUGAUUCGUCACACUAUCAUUAACUGAAUCCAUAGGUUAAUGAGGCGAACCGGGGGAACUGAAACAUCUAAGUACCCCGAGGAAAAGAAAUCAACCGAGAUUCCCCCAGUAGCGGCGAGCGAACGGGGAGCAGCCCAGAGUCUGAAUCAGCUUGUGUGUUAGUGGAACGGUCUGGAAAGUCCGACGGUACAGGGUGAUAGUCCCGUACACCAAAAUGCACAGGUUGUGAACUCGAAGAGUAGGGCGGGACACGUGGUAUCCUGUCUGAAUAUGGGGGGACCAUCCUCCAAGGCUAAAUACUCCUGACUGACCGAUAGUGAACCAGUACCGUGAGGGAAAGGCGAAAAGAACCCCGGCGAGGGGAGUGAAAAAGAACCUGAAACCGUGUACGUACAAGCAGUGGGAGCCUCUUAAUGGGGUGACUGCGUACCUUUUGUAUAAUGGGUCAGCGACUUAUAUUCUGUAGCAAGGUUAACCGUAUAGGGGAGCCGCAGGGAAACCGAGUCUUAACUGGGCGUUAAGUUGCAGGGUAUAGACCCGAAACCCGGUGAUCUAGCCAUGGGCAGGUUGAAGGUUGGGUAACACUAACUGGAGGACCGAACCGACUAAUGUUGAAAAAUUAGCGGAUGACUUGUGGCUGGGGGUGAAAGGCCAAUCAAACCGGGAGAUAGCUGGUUCUCCCCGAAAGCUAUUUAGGUAGCGCCUCGUGAAUUCAUCUUCGGGGGUAGAGCACUGUUUCGGCUAGGGGGUCAUCCCGACUUACCAACCCGAUGCAAACUACGAAUACCGAAGAAUGUUAUCACGGGAGACACACGGCGGGUGCUAACGUCCGUCGUGAAGAGGGAAACAACCCAGACCGCCAGCUAAGGUCCCAAAGUCAUGGUUAAGUGGGAAACGAUGUGGGAAGGCACAGACAGCCAGGAUGUUGGCUUAGAAGCAGCCAUCAUUUAAAGAAAGCGUAAUAGCUCACUGGUCGAGUCGGCCUGCGCGGAAGAUGUAACGGGGCUAAACCAUGCACCGAAGCUGCGGCAGCGACACUAUGUGUUGUUGGGUAGGGGAGCGUUCUGUAAGCCUGCGAAGGUGACCUGUGAGGGUUGCUGGAGGUAUCAGAAGUGCGAAUGCUGACAUAAGUAACGAUAAAGCGGGUGAAAAGCCCGCUCGCCGGAAGACCAAGGGUUCCUGUCCAACGUUAAUCGGGGCAGGGUGAGUCGACCCCUAAGGCGAGGCCGAAAGGCGUAGUCGAUGGGAAACAGGUUAAUAUUCCUGUACUUGGUGUUACUGCGAAGGGGGGACGGAGAAGGCUAUGUUAGCCGGGCGACGGUUGUCCCGGUUUAAGCAUGUAGGCUGGUUGUCCAGGCAAAUCCGGAUAAUCAAGGCUGAGGUGUGAUGACGAGGCACUACGGUGCUGAAGUAACAAAUGCCCUGCUUCCAGGAAAAGCCUCUAAGCAUCAGGUAACAUCAAAUCGUACCCCAAACCGACACAGGUGGUCAGGUAGAGAAUACCAAGGCGCUUGAGAGAACUCGGGUGAAGGAACUAGGCAAAAUGGUGCCGUAACUUCGGGAGAAGGCACGCUGAUAUGUAGGUGAAGCGACUUGCUCGUGGAGCUGAAAUCAGUCGAAGAUACCAGCUGGCUGCAACUGUUUAUUAAAAACACAGCACUGUGCAAACACGAAAGUGGACGUAUACGGUGUGACGCCUGCCCGGUGCCGGAAGGUUAAUUGAUGGGGUUAGCGGUAACGCGAAGCUCUUGAUCGAAGCCCCGGUAAACGGCGGCCGUAACUAUAACGGUCCUAAGGUAGCGAAAUUCCUUGUCGGGUAAGUUCCGACCUGCACGAAUGGCGUAAUGAUGGCCAGGCUGUCUCCACCCGAGACUCAGUGAAAUUGAACUCGCUGUGAAGAUGCAGUGUACCCGCGGCAAGACGGAAAGACCCCGUGAACCUUUACUAUAGCUUGACACUGAACAUUGAGCCUUGAUGUGUAGGAUAGGUGGGAGGCUUUGAAGUGUGGACGCCAGUCUGCAUGGAGCCGACCUUGAAAUACCACCCUUUAAUGUUUGAUGUUCUAACGUUGGCCCCUUACCGGGGUUGCGGACAGUGUCUGGUGGGUAGUUUGACUGGGGCGGUCUCCUCCUAAAGAGUAACGGAGGAGCACGAAGGUUGGCUAAUCCUGGUCGGACAUCAGGAGGUUAGUGCAAUGGCAUAAGCCAGCUUGACUGCGAGCGUGACGGCGCGAGCAGGUGCGAAAGCAGGUCAUAGUGAUCCGGUGGUUCUGAAUGGAAGGGCCAUCGCUCAACGGAUAAAAGGUACUCCGGGGAUAACAGGCUGAUACCGCCCAAGAGUUCAUAUCGACGGCGGUGUUUGGCACCUCGAUGUCGGCUCAUCACAUCCUGGGGCUGAAGUAGGUCCCAAGGGUAUGGCUGUUCGCCAUUUAAAGUGGUACGCGAGCUGGGUUUAGAACGUCGUGAGACAGUUCGGUCCCUAUCUGCCGUGGGCGCUGGAGAACUGAGGGGGGCUGCUCCUAGUACGAGAGGACCGGAGUGGACGCAUCACUGGUGUUCGGGUUGUCAUGCCAAUGGCACUGCCCGGUAGCUAAAUGCGGAAGAGAUAAGUGCUGAAAGCAUCUAAGCACGAAACUUGCCCCGAGAUGAGUUCUCCCUGACUCCUUGA